GUGAUUCAUUAGUAAUUUUAAAUACACAACAUCUAAAACAUAAAGGUGGCAAUUUCUUUUUUAGUAUAUUUUAAAUUACACACUUUUGUUGACAGGGUAGGUAAUAUAGUUUACAAAAUGCCACUAUUGCCUGCUUACAAACAUUAAGAAACUUGGUUGCCGACUGAUGACUCAUGUGGUAACUCCUGAACAAUCUGUUUUAUUUGAUCAGAUCAGCUUUAUUUCCUUUAAAAAAAAUUUUGAAUUCAAAUGAUUUUAGGCUAGAUGAAUAGCUUCCAUAUUUCCAUAUUGUCUUAACCUAGAAACUUCAAAUAAUUUUACAUUACCAGCUAGACCAUAAGUGUAUUUUAACUUUCAAUCAUGAUUAAAUAAAAUUUGUUCCUCUAAUAUUAAAAUGUAUCUAUCAUAAUCAUGGAUUUUUAGAUAUUGUUCUUGGGGAGCUCAGAGUUUAUCAAAGCUUUAUAUGUGAUAUACGAGGUAGUAAAUACUAUGUAGGUUUAUAUUAAGGAAAUAAAACAAAUAUAAUAAACACGAGAAUGAAUAAUUUUACAUGAAAAGGGGGAGCUGGUAUGCUGUAUAUUAAUAUUGUAUUUGAAAUAUAAAUAUAUGUGUUAAAGUUAACCAUUUACAGUGACUUGGAGUCUCCCAGAGAUGAAAUUACUCCUGUUUAGGUGAUUUUGUAAAAUGCACUAUCUCUCACAGCCCCUGGACAUCAUAAGGGAAGUGGCAGCAGUAAUUUAAGAGAUGUCUGCAGACCAAGGUGAAUUUAGUGAAUAUCAAAAACUUCUUGAGUGCUCCAUCGUAACGCCAUUUAUCUUGACAUAAACUGCAAAGAUGGCUCAAAUGUCGAUAAGGAUAUCAGUUCAGGGUCUCCAGUGGCUGCAGCCUAUCCCAGAAGCUCAGGGUGCAAGGCAAGAAGUAAUCGUGGGACCAGGCGCCGUGGCUCUCGCCUGUAAUCCCAGCACUUUGGGAGGCAGAGGCUGGUGAAUCACUUGAGGUCAGGGG
rnacentral:lncRNA from 1 species